rnacentral:rRNA from 1 species
UAAUACGGAGGGUCCAAGCGUUAUCCGGAAUCAUUGGGUUUAAAGGGUCCGUAGGCGGGCUAUUAAGUCAGAGGUGAAAGUUUGCAGCUCAACUGUAAAAUUGCCUUUGAAACUGGUAGUCUUGAAUUAUUAUGAAGUGGUUAGAAUAAGUAGUGUAGCGGUGAAAUGCAUAGAUAUUACUUAGAAUACCAAUUGCGAAGGCAGAUCACUAAUAAUAUAUUGACGCUGAGGGACGAAAGCGUGGGGAGCGAACAGGAUUAGAUACCCUGGUAGUCCACGCCGUAAACGAUGGAUACUAGCUGUUCGGAUUUAUCUGAGUGGCUAAGCGAAAGUGAUAAGUAUCCCACCUGGGGAGUACGUUCGCAAGAAUG